rnacentral:rRNA from 1 species
AGGGUUUGAUUAUGGCUCAGGAUGAACGCUGGCGGCGUGCUUAACACAUGCAAGUCGAGCGAAGCGAUAAAGCGGAAGUUUUCGGAUGGAAGGUUUAUUGACUGAGCGGCGGACGGGUGAGUAACGCGUGGGUAACCUGCCUCAUACAGGGGGAUAACAGUUAGAAAUGACUGCUAAUACCGCAUAAGCGCACAGUGCUGCAUGGCACAGUGUGAAAAACUCCGGUGGUAUGAGAUGGACCCGCGUCUGAUUAGCUAGUUGGUAAGGUAACGGCUUACCAAGGCGACGAUCAGUAGCCGACCUGAGAGGGUGACCGGCCACAUUGGGACUGAGACACGGCCCAA